rnacentral:rRNA from 1 species
GAUGAACGCUGGCGGCGUGCCUAAUACAUGCAAGUCGAGCGAACAGACGAGGAGCUUGCUCCUCUGACGUUAGCGGCGGACGGGGGAGUAAAACGUGGAUAACCUACCUAUAAAACUGGGAUAACUUCGGGAAACCGGAGCUAAUACCGGAUAAUAUAUUGAACCGCAUGGUUCAAUAGUGAAAGACGGUUUUGCUGUCACUUAUAGAUGGAUCCGCGCCGCAUUAGCUAGUUGGUAAGGUAACGGCUUACCAAGGCAACGAUGCGUAGCCGACCUGAGAGGGUGAUCGGCCACACUGGAACUGAGACACGGUCCAGACUCCUACGGGAGGCAGCAGUAGGGAAUCUUCCGCAAUGGGCGAAAGCCUGACGGAGCAACGCCGCGUGAGUGAUGAAGGUCUUCGGAUCGUAAAACUCUGUUAUUAGGGAAGAACAAAUGUGUAAGUAACUAUGCACGUCUUGACGGUACCUAAUCAGAAAGCCACGGCUAACUACGUG